UGGGGAAUAUUGCACAAUGGGCGCAAGCCUGAUGCAGCCAUGCCGCGUGUAUGAAGAAGGCCUUCGGGUUGUAAAGUACUUUCAGCGGGGAGGAAGGGAGUAAAGUUAAUACCUUUGCUCAUUGACGUUACCCGCAGAAGAAGCACCGGCUAACUCCGUGCCAGCAGCCGCGGUAAUACGGAGGGUGCAAGCGUUAAUCGGAAUUACUGGGCGUAAAGCGCACGCAGGCGGUUUGUUAAGUCAGAUGUGAAAUCCCCGGGCUCAACCUGGGAACUGCAUCUGAUACUGGCAAGCUUGAGUCUCGUAGAGGGGGGUAGCAUUCCAGGUGUAGCUGUGAAAUGCGUAGAGAUCUGGAGGAAUACCGGUGGCGAAGGCGGCCCCCUGGACGAAGACUGACGCUCAGGUGCGAAAGCGUGGGGAGCAAACAGG
rnacentral:rRNA from 1 species